rnacentral:rRNA from 1 species
AGGGCCACCGCUUGCGGGGCCUGAUUAGUGGCGAACGGGUGAGUAAUACGUGAGUAACCUGCCCUUGACUCUGGGAUAAGCCUGGGAAACUGGGUCUAAUACUGGAUACUACUGUUCACCGCAUGGUGGGUGGUGGAAAGGGUUUUACUGGUUUUGGAUGGGCUCACGGCCUAUCAGCUUGUUGGUGGGGUAAUGGCUCACCAAGGCGACGACGGGUAGCCGGCCUGAGAGGGUGACCGGCCACACUGGGACUGAGACACGGCCCAGACUCCUACGGGAGGCAGCAGUGGGGAAUAUUGCACAAUGGGCGGAAGCCUGAUGCAGCGACGCCGCGUGAGGGAUGACGGCCUUCGGGUUGUAAACCUCUUUCAGUAGGGAAGAAGCGCAAGUGACGGUACCUGCAGAAGAAGCGCCGGCUAACUACGUGCCAGCAGCCGCGGUAAUACGUAGGGCGCAAGCGUUGUCCGGAAUUAUUGGGCGUAAAGAGCUCGUAGGCGGUUUGUCGCGUCUGCUGUGAAAGCCCGGGGCUCAACCCCGGGUCUGCAGUGGGUACGGGCAGACUAGAGUGCAGUAGGGGAGACUGGAAUUCCUGGUGUAGCGGUGAAAUGCGCAGAUAUCAGGAGGAACACCGAUGGCGAAGGCAGGUCUCUGGGCUGUUACUGACGCUGAGGAGCGAAAGCAUGGGGAGCGAACAGGAUUAGAUACCCUGGUAGUCCAUGCCGUAAACGUUGGGCACUAGGUGUGGGGGACAUUCCACGUUUUCCGCGCCGUAGCUAACGCAUUAAGUGCCCCGCCUGGGGAGUACGGCCGCAAGGCUAAAACUCAAAGGAAUUGACGGGGGCCCGCACAAGCGGCGGAGCAUGCGGAUUAAUUCGAUGCAACGCGAAGAACCUUACCAAGGCUUGACAUUCACCGGACCGCCCCAGAGAUGGGGUUUCCCUUCGGGGUCGGUGGACAGGUGGUGCAUGGUUGUCGUCAGCUCGUGUCGUGAGAUGUUGGGUUAAGUCCCGCAACGAGCGCAACCCUCGUUCUAUGUUGCCAGCACGUGAUGGUGGGGACUCAUAGGAGACUGCCGGGGUCAACUCGGAGGAAGGUGGGGAUGACGUCAAAUCAUCAUGCCCCUUAUGUCUUGGGCUUCACGCAUGCUACAAUGGCCGGUACAAAGGGUUGCGAUACUGUGAGGUGGAGCUAAUCCCAAAAAGCCGGUCUCAGUUCGGAUUGAGGUCUGCAACUCGACCUCAUGAAGUCGGAGUCGCUAGUAAUCGCAGAUCAGCAACGCUGCGGUGAAUACGUUCCCGGGCCUUGUACACACCGCCCGUCAAGUCACGAAAGUUGGUAACACCCGAAGCCGGGGUAGUAAC